rnacentral:rRNA from 1 species
CCUACGGGCGGCAGCAGUGAGGAAUAUUGGUCAAUGGGCGGGAGACUGAACCAGCCAAGUAGCGUGAGGGAUGAAGGUACUGCGUGUUGUAAACUUCUUUUGUAAGGGAAUAAAGUCAGGCACGCGUCCCUGGUUGAGUGUACUUUAUGAAUAAGCAUCGGCUAACUCCGUGCCAGCAGCCGCGGUAAUACGGAGGAUCCGAGCGUUAUCCGGAUUUAUUGGGUUUAAAGGGAGCGUAGAUGGGCUGUUAAGUCAGGUGGGAAAGUUUGAGGCUCAACCCUAAAAUGGCAGUUGAAACUGGCAGUCUUGAGUACGAUUGAGGUAGGCGGAAUGCGUGGUGUAGCGGUGAAAUGCUUAGAUAUCACGAAGAACUCCGAUUGCGAAGGCAGCAUACUAAACCGACACUGACAUUGAUGCACGAAAGUGUGGGUAUCAAACAGGAUUAGAUACCCGUGUAGUC